ensembl:lncRNA novel transcript, antisense to PCGF2
ACCUGGCGCUGGGGCUCCGGUCCGCAGUGGCUCCGGCAGGAGGGAGAGAACGAGGAGGGAGGCUUGGAAACGCCGGGAGUAGCGGUGAGGCCGACGCCGGGGAAGCGAAUCGAUACUGCGUUACUGGACGCCCGUGGGCCUCAUGAGGAUGGUCGAUUCCCUCAUUCGUUAUUCACGAUUUAUUAGGGAUGGCGGCCGCGUCUGUCCCUCCAGAGAGCUCGAUUAUCCAUCCGGCCAGCAGCGCCAUUAAGCGCACUGACGGUGGGAGGCUCGAGUUAGAAAUUAGGAUAGGAAUCUUCGCCCAGUUUUGGAGCGCCUGCCUCCUCUUCCCUCGUUGCUCGCAGCCAAGGCAGCCGCGAAGCUGGGGGCCUCGGGUGAAUGCUUUCGCCCUCUGGCCGGCGACCAGGAGACCUGCGCACACUGGCCGCCGAGUGACCCCAGCUCGAGCCUGCAGCCACACCAGCGGGACGGGGGCGGGGAGGAAGAGGAAGGGCGGAGAGACUUCCUUCCAGAGGGAGUGGUCCGAGAACCGGCGGGAGAAGGGCCAAGGGAAGAUCCGGUCACCUGCUCCGGAGCCUGCAGGCGGAGAGGCGAGUAGUUCACCGGCCCCGGAGGAAAGGGGACCCUCCCACUGUUCCCAGGCAAAUGUGUCGCCGGCAUCCUGCACUCUGCCGGGGAAGACGCGCAUCCACUCGCUCUGCAGGGAGGGGAACGCGGGAAGGACUCCCAGUCAGCCGCCCCUCUCUGGCUACAAGACCCCGAACAAGAGAAACCUGUAACAGGGGCUCUGCGGAGAUCUGGAUCCCACCCACCAACCACAUGGGCACCUGGGGGGCUGCCCCUCGGGGCAUUAUCAGCCAGUGGGAAGGGGGUUGACGUUCCUCUGCGGCCCAUGAAUCCUGGAGGGCUGCCCGAGGGGCCACCGGGGUCCAUCCACUUAUUCUUCGGUUGUUAAGCGCCAGACAGGAGAGAACCGCUAGAGAGGAGUGUGCUAAGACCCUAUUACCCACUAAAACUCCAUUUUCAUCUUUUGCGUCCUGGAUGACUAGUCUCCACAUUCCUGGCCUUUCUGGUUUCUCAGGAGAACCUUCUGACCCAACUCUUCCCACAUCGAAAGAGUUUCCUAGUCUUUUGUUCUACUACUAGCCGACAUAGAAAGCACCUGUCAUGUGCCAGUGUCAAAUACUGCGCUAGGAACUGGGAACUCAAGGCACAGGAGCCUGGCUUUUGCGCAGGGCGCUCACAGGCCGGUGGGUGCAAACCCUGAAGGACACACAGCCUGUCCCUUUAGCGCCCAUCGCUUCUGGUGUGAGCUCCCGCUAAGGGUGGGUGAGUACUGGGGUGGGCUUCCAGAAGAGGCCUCCUUUGAGCCGAAUCUGCAGAGACCAAGUGUCUAUGAGAACUGCUCAAGAGUGCUUUGCACAUUCUCCUCCACAAAGGUCGAGGCUCCCACUGCGCCCAGGAAUGCGCCUCGUCAGACAUUAGGCGCCCCUUGAUUUUGUGUUUGCAUCUCACGCGGUCCUCUAGCUGACAAGUGCAUCAGAAGAGUCACAGUGGCUGUCACAAGCCAGAGACUCGCAGAGGACAGGAACGCGGGAAAUCUAGGCAAUUACCUCCAGCAUAUACCAAGAGCUAUUGCGAGGAUCAGAUCCCUUUAAAAAUGGUGACGAGACAGGAGAGGGCGGCUCCUCUAGAGCUUUCCGGAACGUCUUUACCUCUGUGUCCUUUAUACCUUUUAUCUCCCCCAAACAAGGUCCUUAGUCAGUUUCUCCUUCUAUUUCCCCAUCUUCCUCCCCCACCUCCCUGUGUAGUUCUAGGGGGAAAAAAUGUGUUGUUUUCCUUUUUUUCUGAUGCUUCUAAUAUUAAAUGCGUCUAUUUUCCCACUCUCCAUUGUCUUGAGGUCUUCCCCUACCCACCCUGCCUAGUUCUGUCACGUCCCUUCUUUCCCUGUAUCACAACAAUGUUCUCCCUUUCUCACCUUUGUUUCUCUUCAUACUUGUUUCUCUCUCUGUGUCUCUCUCAUUCUCUUCCCUUCCAAAUGUAGUAUUUGGAGACUGUAAUAUCGAUUGAGGCAGACAAUAGAAAACUGUCGAACCUC